rnacentral:rRNA from 1 species
UACGUAGGGACCAAGCGUUGUUCGGAUUUACUGGGCGUAAAGGGCGCGUAGGCGGCAGAUCAAGUCAGCUGUGAAAUCUCCGAGCUUAACUCGGAACUGUCAGCUGAUACUGUUUUGCUAGAGUGCGGAAGGGGCAAUCGGAAUUCUUGGUGUAGCGGUGAAAUGCGUAGAUAUCAAGAGGAACACCUGAGGUGAAGACGGGUUGCUGGGCCGACACUGACGCUGAGUGCGCGAAAGCCAGGGGAGCAAACGGG